CGCGGGGCGAGCGGCGGUGUCCGGGCCAUGCACUCCCUCACCCAGGAGAUCCGCGGCUUCUCCAGGGCCAACCUGCGGAAGCAGCGCACACGCGUGACGACGCUGACCGGCAGGAGGAUCAUCGAGACGUGGCGCGGUGCCUGCCUGCAGGUAGAGGAGGAGGAUGCGGCGGCGCCCGGUGUCGGCUACGUGCAGGACCUCAGCGCCGACCUCCAGGUCGGCGUCGUGAAGCCCUGGUUGCUGCUGGGGUCGCAGGAUGCUGCUCACGACCUGGAGACUUUGAGAAAGUAUAAGACGGAUGGAUGCCUGCGAGCUUCACCAGAAGCCGAAACACCGUGCUGCAAGACUCAUGGUUGUUUAGAGGCGUUUCGUGGAAGGGGCUGCUGCGUUGUCGCCGUAUGCGUUUCAGUCUCAGGCGCUAAGCAGCGCUCCCUUGCCUUACGGGGACCCGUGAAUCGAGAAAAACAAAGCAGCAGCUCUAAGUCUGUCCCAAACUUUGGUCUUUUUACUCUUCUCUGUUACAGUAAUGGGGUGAUAAGGCCUUCGGACAGUGGUGCUUCUGCAGGACAGGGAGUGCACCAGUCUGGCAUCUGGUGCCAUCUAAAUGUCACUGCACUGUUACUCAUGUUCUAAAUGUGGCCUACGGAGUCCAAAAUGCCUUCCUCAAUGACUUUAUAUACAAGACCAUUUCUAUUCUGGACCUCCCAGAAACCGACAUUACUUCCUAUUUCCCAGAAUGUUUUGAGUUUAUUGAGAAAGCCAAGAUCCAGGGAGGAAAUCUUAGCUCAUGCAUGAACAUCUCUCCUUAUUUCUCCCUCUGUCCCUCCGAAAAAGAAAGCCCUGGCACCACUGCAAAGUAAAGUGGAUCCCUAAGGAAAUACGUUAGCCUGUGGCUCUUCACCAACAGCUUUAUGCUUCUUUUUCAUUUCUUUCCUCAGUCAGGCUUUCUUACCUACUGUGUAUAACCACUGUAUAAUCACCAUUUCUUUUGAUGGGAGGGGUUUUUUUUGCUUCUCCCUGUAUAAAAAAUAAUAAAACGCCCCCUUGUUCUUGAAUCUUAAGAGGUUCUUGCACGACCAUGGACCAUUUCUGGGCAGGUGAAGGUUAGGCUAUGAGGAUCAUAGCAGGGAGUUCUUAGUAAAUAAAGAUUAAUUUCAUACCUGCAGUCUGUUUUUCCCUUUUGUUCUGUAUUCAUAUCUAAUACAAAUUCAGUUAAGAAUUACAUGCCAAAUUUGUCUUUGUAUAAAGAAACAACAGGGUUUAGCAAGGAAAGAUAGAUCUUCUCAGUAUUAAAUUUGAUUUAAUGUUACUGCCCAUGCUCAUUCAUGAUCAGUAGUUUUCAAGUCUAUUCCGUGGAUAUCACUAUAUAAUUUUUAGCAAUGUACAACAGAACAGUCGUUAAAAAAAAACCUUAAAAGAAAUGCGAAGGAGGAAAAUAAAGCAUGAACUCAAAGGAAAAAAAAAAUCACUUUCAAUCCUCACUUCUUACCCUCAGUGCCAGUGCUAGAUAUUGAUCUCAAUUAUGGUACGUUAUGUCUGAAAAAACUUCCAUUAAACCAGUAAGAACUACUCCAGAUCUACGGUGGAUAAGCUUCAGCAAUUGCUUCAUUAGCAGUGGCAUAAAUAUAAUUUUUAACAUCAUCAUUUUAAUGUCAUUUUUAUAAAGGAGAUAAUGGGUUUACAGAUCACCACUGGCACUUCCUCAGUGAGUUGAAAUACACGUACAAGUCUGCUUUACACUCUGUGAUCAGGAAACAUGCCCCUGUGAAUGGGAGAAAGAGAAUGAAGAUCACAAUUUCCAGCAGCCAAUGCAAAGGGGAUGUGAUUUCCAUUGCCAAAAAGGGUUAUUGUGAUUCAUUGUGCUGGGAUGCGGGAGCUUAGAUUCAGUUCCUAGCUCUGCUGUAAUCUUGUUGUGUUAACUUGAUCAAGUCAUUCUUCUAGUCUCAGCUUGGCAUUUCUUCAACGAGGAUAACAACACUCAAUUUCACACUUCUUUGUCUUAUUUAAACUGGAGGGGGUUUGGAGCAGGAACCAUUUUCUGCUCUGUGUGUUUAUUAAUAUGCCGGAUAAUUGCAACUCCCAGGCCUGUAACGUAAGUCAUCAUGUUCCUGGAAAGGAACCCUGGUGGUUAUAAACUCUUUUUUUUCCUCUGGGUAAAAUGCCCGUUGAGUAAUUUGUGCUUGUUAAGGGCAGAUGGAGCAGGCUGUUUGUAUCUAGAAUAUAUUUGUUUAGCCUCAAAUAUCUGAGCACAUUGUGUUUUGUUUCAGUAUCUUUAUUCAGAAUGUGGAGAUGCUAGGGUCUUUUUUUUUGUGAAAGUGGCAUUUGGCAGACAGUUUGGACCAAGCUUUUUCCAGAUCAUAGUCGUGACGUACAAACGUCACAACAUCGCAAAGCCUGGGCAUUGCAAACGCUGCCUAAGCCACGCUGGCUUGUCUAGUUGUCUUUGUGUUAACUCACACUCUUUAUUUCUUAACAAAACUUGCAGUUUCUUGUUAAAGAGUCAUUCAGGUGUCUCAAUGCUUUUAUGGGAAAUGUGUAAGCAGGAUAAACCCAUUCAUUUUAAAUAUAAUUCAGGAUGAGCCUGAAUUUAACCCCCACGAGUCACAUUUGUGAAUUUAUAAGGAGGUUCAGUAGUUUUGGGUUUUGCACCUUUGUCCCCCAGUGAAAGGAUGUGAGUUGCACCAGCUGUACCACCCGACCGCUACAGCCGUACCAGCGGUGUGCUGGGGAGGUAGAGAUUUGUUGUAAAUCACACGAUACCUUUUCUGAUUUUUCUGUUCCUAUGCAUGAUCCUGCUUACCCAGGAUCUUCACUGAAGAACUCCAGAGUACGCAAGAAGUGUGCGACUGAAAGCACAAGAUGUUCUAAAAUCCGCUUCUGUGCCUAGCUGUUUGCUGCCUUGCUAUGUUUUUAACCUGGUAACAAGGAUGGUGUGGUACUGGUCCACUGUAACGCAGGAGUCUCACGUGCAGCGGCAGUAGUCACCGGUUUUCUAAUGAAUUCAGAAAGACUGAGUUUUGCCAGAG